UACGUAGGGUCCAAGCGUUAUCCGGAAUUACUGGGCGUAAAGCGUGCGUAGGUGGGUGUUUAAGUGAGAUGCGAAAUCCUGUGGCUCAACCAUAUGGACUGUAUCUCAUACUGGACGCCUAGAGGACGGCAGAGGCAAGUGGAAUUACCGGUGUAGCAGUGAAAUGCGUAGAUAUCGGUAGGAACACCAAUGGCGAAGGCAGCUUGCUGGGCCGACCCUGACACUGAGGCACGAAAGCGUGGGGAGCGAACAGG
rnacentral:misc_RNA from 1 species